rnacentral:rRNA from 1 species
CAGUAGCCGCGGGAAUACGUAGGGUGCAAGCGUUAAUCGGAAUUACUGGGCGUAAAGCGUGCGCAGGCGGUUAUAUAAGACAGAUGUGAAAUCCACGGGCUCAACCUGGGAACUGCAUUUGUGACUGUAUAGCUAGAGUACGGCAGAGGGGGAUGGAAUUCCGCGUGUAGCAGUGAAAUGCGUAGAUAUGCGGAGGAACACCGAUGGCGAAGGCAAUCCCCUGGGCCUGUACUGACGCUCAUGCACGAAAGCGUGGGGAGCAAACAGGAUUAGAGACCCCUGUAGUCCCUGUCUCUUAUAC